rnacentral:rRNA from 1 species
GAUGAACGCUGGCGGCGUGCCUAAUACAUGCAAGUCGAACGCUUUGUGGUUCAACUGAUUUGAAGAGCUUGCUCAGAUAUGACGAUGGACAUUGCAAAGAGUGGCGAACGGGUGAGUAACACGUGGGAAACCUACCUCUUAGCAGGGGAUAACAUUUGGAAACAGAUGCUAAUACCGUAUAACAAUGACAACCGCAUGGUUGUUAUUUAAAAGAUGGUUCUGCUAUCACUAAGAGAUGGUCCCGCGGUGCAUUAGCUAGUUGGUAAGGUAAUGGCUUACCAAGGCGAUGAUGCAUAGCCGAGUUGAGAGACUGAUCGGCCACAAUGGGACUGAGACACGGCCCAUACUCCUACGGGAGGCAGCAGUAGGGAAUCUUCCACAAUGGGCGAAAGCCUGAUGGAGCAACGCCGCGUGUGUGAUGAAGGGUUUCGGCUCGUAAAACACUGUUGUAAGAGAAGAAUGACAUUGAGAGUAACUGUUCAAUGUGUGACGGUAUCUUACCAGAAAGGAACGGCUAAAUACGUGCCAGCAGCCGCGGUAAUACGUAUGUUCCAAGCGUUAUCCGGAUUUAUUGGGCGUAAAGCGAGCGCAGACGGUUAUUUAAGUCUGAAGUGAAAGCCCUCAGCUCAACUGAGGAAUUGCUUUGGAAACUGGAUGACUUGAGUGCAGUAGAGGAAAGUGGAACUCCAUGUGUAGCGGUGAAAUGCGUAGAUAUAUGGAAGAACACCAGUGGCGAAAGCGGCUUUCUGGACUGUAACUGACGUUGAGGCUCGAAAGUGUGGGUAGCAAACAGGAUUAGAUACCCUGGUAGUCCACACCGUAAACGAUGAGUGCUAGGUGUUUGAGGGUUUCCGCCCUUAAGUGCCGCAGCUAACGCAUUAAGCACUCCGCCUGGGGAGUACGACCGCAAGGUUGAAACUCAAAGGAAUUGACGGGGACCCGCACAAGCGGUGGAGCAUGUGGUUUAAUUCGAAGCAACGCGAAGAACCUUACCAGGUCUUGACAUCCCUUGACAACUCCAGAGAUGGAGCGUUCCCUUCGGGGACAAGGUGACAGGUGGUGCAUGGUUGUCGUCAGCUCGUGUCGUGAGAUGUUGGGUUAAGUCCCGCAACGAGCGCAACCCUUAUUACUAGUUGCCAGCAUUCAGUUGGGCACUCUAGUGAGACUGCCGGUGACAAACCGGAGGAAGGUGGGGAUGACGUCAAAUCAUCAUGCCCCUUAUGACCUGGGCUACACACGUGCUACAAUGGCGUAUACAACGAGUUGCCAACCCGCGAGGGUGAGCUAAUCUCUUAAAGUACGUCUCAGUUCGGAUUGUAGGCUGCAACUCGCCUACAUGAAGUCGGAAUCGCUAGUAAUCGCGGAUCAGCACGCCGCGGUGAAUACGUUCCCGGGUCUUGUACACACCGCCCGUCACACCAUGAGAGUUUGUAACACCCAAAGCCGGUGGGGUAACCUUCGGGAGCCAGCCGUCUAAGGUGGGACAGAUGAUUAGGGUG